AGGUUACAGGUUAACCCAUCAUUAUUGGCGCAGGAAAGGGUUAAAGUUGGGAAACUGCACAAAAUAAGAAUUUGGGAGAAGGGCAAAUACUUUUCACAGCACUGUAUAUAUGCAUCACCUGGCAUUGAAAAACUAAAAGCCUAUUUAGAAUUAAGGUUUGGAAAGGUCAAGCAAAAGGUGGUCUGGAUAUUCUGACAUUUCGUCAGUAAAUCAAAUCAAAUUUACCAUCAGCAAAAAAAAGAAAAAA